rnacentral:rRNA from 1 species
GUAGGGAAUAUUGGGCAAUGGAUGCAAGUCUGACCCAGCCAUCCCGCGUGCCGGAAGAAGGCCCUCAGGGUUGUAAACGGCUUUUGACGGUGAAGAAUCGACAGGAUGCGUCCUGUUUUGACGGUAGCCGUUGAAUAAGCACCGGCUAACUCCGUGCCAGCAGCCGCUGUAAUACGGAGGGUGCGAGCGUUGUCCGGAUUUAUUGGGUUUAAAGGGUGCGUAGGCUGGAAGGUCAGUCAGCGGUGAAAAGCUGUCGCUUAACGAUAGUCUUGCCGCAGAUACUUCAUUUCUUGGAUGAGGAUGAGGCCACUGGAACGGAUGGUGUAGCGGUGAAAUGCAUAGAUAUCAUCCAGAACACCGAUUGCGAAGGCAGGUGGCUGUACCUUAAUCGCCGCUGAUGCACGAAAGCAUGGGGAGCAAACAGGAUUAGAAACCCCAGUAGUCC